UACGUAGGGGGCAAGCGUUGUCCGGAAUCAUUGGGCGUAAAGCGCGCGUAGGCGGCCCGGUAAGUCCGUUGUGAAAGUCAAAGGCUCAACCUUUGAACGCCGAUGGAUACUGCCGGGCUAGAGUCCGGAAGAGGCGAGUGGAAUUCCUGGUGUAGCGGUGGAAUGCGCAGAGUAUCAGGAGGAACACCAAUAGCGAAGGCAGCUCGCUGGGACGGUACUGACGCUGAGGCGCGAAAGCGUGGGGAGCGAACAGG
rnacentral:rRNA from 1 species